rnacentral:tRNA from 3 species
GGCCCCGUAGUUCAAUGGAUAGAAUAGAUGUUUCCUAAACAUUUGAUAUGAGUUCGAUUCUCGUCGGGGCUACCA